rnacentral:rRNA from 1 species
GUUUAAAGGGAGCGCAGGCGGACCUUUAAGUCAGCUGUGAAAUACGGCGGCUCAACCGUCGAACUGCAGUUGAUACUGGAGGUCUUGAGUGCACACAGGGAUGCUGGAAUUCAUGGUGUAGCGGUGAAAUGCGUAGAGAUCAGGAGGAACAUCGGUGGCGAAGGCGGCUUACUGGGCCUUUACUGACGCUGAGGCUCGAAGGCGUGGGGAGCAAACAGGAUUAGAUACCCUGGUAGUCCACGCAGUAAACGAUGAAUACUAGGUGUUGGGGCCCAUAGGGCUUCGGUGCCGCCGCAAACGCAUUAAGUAUUCCACCUGGGGAGU